UCCUCCUCCUUCUCCUUUGAAUCCACCGAAGGAGAGCCGCCGCACCCAAGGACGAAAGGGGGGAGGGUCUUCUUCGUGUUGCCGCCGAAAGAGAGAGGGAGAGAGAGGACCAUUGGGUUCGGUACGGGGGUCUUCUUCUUCUUCAUUGCCGUCGGAGAGGGGGAGGCACCGGUCUUCGUCGGGGCUGAGGUAAGAGUCCCUCGCUUUAUUCUCCUUCUCUUCUGAUGCUUGGCCAUGAUGUGUUGUGGGUUGGGGCCGGUCAAUCGCCAGAUUUGGGUCCCGAAAAUGGGUCGGCCGAGUGCUCCACCGUCGGCUUUGUGCGCCACUGCCGGUCGACAAGGAGAGGUCGCCCUUGCUCCGCCACCUCCUGCCGCCGUCGAGGCCGGCCACCACAGCUGCCCUUGGGAUCGACCGAGAGGAAAGAAGAAGGGAGCGGCAGGGGGUCAUGGAUCUCCUGUUUCGCCGAAGGAGAAGAGAGAAGUCGGGAGAGAAAAGAAGAAAGAAGAAAAGAAAAGAAGAAAAAGAAAAGAAAGAAAAGAAGAAAGAAGAAAGAAAAGAAAAGAAUAUAUAUAUAUAUAUAUAUAUAUAUAAAAUAAUAAAGAGAGGGGGUGGUAUUCGGGUAUGAAUCCAAACUCAGGGUUUGGCACUCCUGCAGGGCCAGCCAUGGGAGGAUAUUAAAAUUUAAGUCUUGGUAUAUAUAUAUAUGUUGUGAUGAAUUUUAAAAAAAGAAUAUGAUUUUUGAAUAUUAGGUUCUGCGAGGAAUUUGCGGAAUUAAUUGGAUUUAUCGUGGAUCGCGUUCGCAAGGUAAGUGAUGUAACCACUUUUCUAAAUUUAUCGGCAAACUAUAUAUAUGUUUUACGAAUCGAAUUAUUCGUGAUUUCGAAUUUGAUGCAUGGAUUAUAUGUUUAUUUUAGAAUAUUAUGAUUCUGAUUGAACGUAUUUGCUUCUGAUUUGAAUUGUGUUUAAUUGCUCUGAUAUUGUACCUUUUGGCUUGGAACACUAAACAUAAUGUAAGAAAAGAUUAUGACUUGAAAUAGAUUCAGACUUGCAGUCGGACUAUGUUGAGGACCCUGCCAAUGGGGGCUAAUACAUUGGUACCGCAAGAAGAAUAGUCGGUGAUAUGACCCUACCAUAGGGAACAUGUGAUCAUAGUUCCUGGCUCUUGAGUUGAAUCUGAUAAAUUGAAAGAAAUUAAGAUAUGAACGACAUUUGGUUUUGACAUUGUAUGUUUUUUUUAUAUAACUGAAAUAUGAAAUAUAAAACAAACUGAACUUCGACCUGGCUAUGUUGAGGAUCCUGCCAAUGGAGGCAGAUACGUUGGCAAUUGACUGUCCUGAAGGACUCACUGCAAGAAGAAUAGUCGGUGUUGAUGACCCUGCCACAGGGAACAUGUGGUCAUAGUCCAGGAUCGACAAGAUGAAUUGAAUAUGUGAAAGAAUCUUGAAACCGCGAAAAGAAUCUUAUGAAUUCAAGAAAUAUUUGACUUAUACUUUGGAACUGCAUAUUUAUUUAUUUUUCACAUAUUAUUGCUUGAUUUAUCUAGUUAGAGUGUUCAUUACUUACUGGGUUGUCUAGCUCAUUAUACCAUCUCUUGUUGUUUUACAGAUUUCGAAAACUAGUCUAUUGGGGAUUCAAAUUGGGAGAGCGACUAGAAAGAUUGUGGCACAAGUUAUCUUAGAUUAGGAUUAUUUAAGUUGAUUUGUUAUUAUGGACAUUUAUUAUGAUUGGUGGACUUUUGUUAUUUUAAGAACUAGGUUUCUGCAUGUUGGUAAAUGAUUAUUCCGCUGCGUAUUUAGACUUGUGAGACCUUAUGACUUGAGUUAGUCAAUGAAAUAAGAUUGCAUUUAUUCAGU
rnacentral:lncRNA from 1 species